rnacentral:sRNA from 1 species
AAAAGAAUUUUCAAAUUCCAAGUAUUUCUUUUUUUUUGGCACCGGUGUCUCCUCAGACAUUUCAAUGUCUGUUGGUGCCAAGAGGGAAAAGGGCUAUUAAGCUAUAUAGGGGGGUGGGUGUUGAGGGAGUCUGGGCAGUCCGUGGGAACCCCCUUUUUCGGUUCGGACUUGGGUAGCGAUCGAGGGAUGGUAUCGGAUAUCGACACGAGGAAUGACCGACCGUCCGGCCGCCGGGAUUUUCGCCGGAAAACUUUUUCGGCGACUUUUCCGGCGAUCGGUUUUGUUGCCUUUUUCCGAGUUUUCUCAGCAGUUCUCGGACAAAAACUGAUGAAUCGUCGAGGAGAAUGAGCUUGCCUUGCGUGGGCUGCCAUUAGUUCUUCGAGGCGUUAGGGUGGCGGCGGUAUAAAAGUGUCGGAGUUUUUUCAGCAGUUCUCGGACAAAAAUUGCUGAGUGGCCGAGAAGAAUGGGCGUGUCAUGCGUGGGCUGACAUGGAUUCUUCGAGGCCUAGGGGUGGCGGUAUAUAACUUGUUCGCAUGAUAUUACCGAGAUGUCCCCACGGGCAUCUUUUCACCUCGUCGCCGAAGAGAAUGGGCGUGUCAUGCAUGGGCUGACAUGGAUUCUCCUAGGCCGUUUGGGUGGCGGUAUAGUCGUCCUGCGCACGAAAUACCGAGAUGUCCCCAUGGGCAUCGAUUCCACCCGCCUAGGUUGGAUGGGCGUGCUUCGUUGGAAAGCAUGGAUCCGCCUAGGCUGUCCCGAGUGUGAGCGAGGUGUGAGUGUCGCCCAUGGGCAUCGACACCUUGCGGCUAGGAACUGGAACGAGAUGGGUGGCGAAGAUUUCGAGUAGCACUUCAUACUACCGUCGGUUUUUUAAACCUUCCGAGUUUUGUUGAUGUUAUUCCGAGAAUUAGCAAACCGUAACGAAGAUGUUCUUGGCAACCAUCUUUUGAUGGGAGUCCGGCUGUUCGAUAGCCGGCCAAGGGUGAUGAACGAAAUGUGAACCCUUGUCUCGCCUAGGUUGGAUGGGCGUGCUUCGUUGGAAAGCAUGGAUCCGCCUAGGCUGUCCCGAGUGUGAGCGAGGUGUGAGUGUCGCCCAUGGGCAUCGACACCUUGCGGCUAGGAACUGGAACGAGACGGGUAGCAAAGAUUUCGAGUAGCACUUCAUACUACCGUGGGUUUUUUAAACCUUCCGAGUUUUGUUGAUGUGUUUCCGAGAAUUAGCAAACCGUAACGAAGAUGUUCUUGGCAACCAUCUUUUGAUGGGAGUCCGGCUGUUCGAAAGCCGGCCAAGGGUGAUGAACGAAAUGUGAACCCUUGUCUCGCCUAGGUUGGAUGGGCGUGCUUCGUUGGAAAGCAUGGAUCCGCCUAGGCUGUCCCGAAGGUAUCUCGCGCUUGUACGGCUUUGGCUUGGAUUCGUCCGUCUUCUUUCUUCUUAGCCGAGUACUUCGGUAGAGUAGUUGGAACGAUUGAUGAUUUUGAGUUAAUUGAACGUUCGGCGUAUGAGUGGUGAUCGGAUAGCUAGUGUUCGUAGGCUCCAUGCUCGCGCAUCGAACUACCUACCACCUAUCCUUCUCAGUUAAUUCACGGGCGAUGUUACGCUCGAUGAUGAGUUCCGGGGCCUGUGUUUCGUACCUAAUUUGAAGGAAUUGUUGAGUUUGGUUUACACCUUUGCCCGCGGCUUCUCCUUCGUGGGGAAGUCGUGGGCACAAACAUCGGCGCUUGUUCACCUCUCGUCAUCGCAUUUGUUGCCUUGCUCGCAUUGGUGAAUGAGUUGCGGGUUGAAAUCUCGGAUGCGGAAAAGUUGUCGACGGUGACUCGAAGUGAUUCAGUCCCGCCAAAGCUCAUCCGUCCUUCGGGCAAAAGAUGACGGUCAAGACCUCGUCCUUUCUCUCUUUCCAUUGCGUUUGAGAGGAUGUGGCGGGGAAUUGCCGUGAUCGAUGAAUGCUACCUGGUUGAUCCUGCCAGUAGUCAUAUGCUUGUCUCAAAGAUUAAGCCAUGCAUGUGUAAGUAUGAACGAAUUCAGACUGUGAAACUGCGAAUGGCUCAUUA